rnacentral:misc_RNA from 1 species
UCCGGUUUGACACCGGCAGUCUCCCUAGAGUGCCCGGCAUAACCCGCUGGUAACUAGGGACGAGGGUUGCGCUCGUUGCGGGACUUAACCCAACAUCUCACGGCACGAGCUGACGACAGCCAUGCAGCACCUGUGCGGGCUCCUGAAGGAGGACCGUGUUUCCACGGCUUCACCCCGCAUGUCAAGCCCUGGUAAGGUUCCUCGCGUACCAUCGAAUUAAACCACAUGCUCCGCUGCUUGUGCGGGUCCCCGUCAAUUCCUUUGAGUUUUAGCCUUGCGGCCGUACUCCCCAGGCGGGGCACUUAAUGCGUUAGCUCCGGCACGGGAGGAGUCGACACCUCCCACACCUAGUGCCCAUCGUUUACGGCGUGGACUAC